CCAACCAAUCGCUCGUCUUUUUUUUUCCGUCGGUGGAUUCCCAGCCUGCAAAUUUCCUCCAAAAAGGUCAACAUCCUGUUUCGCGGGUUGGGUGGUGCCAGUGCGACUGGGCUGCUCUUCCCAUUGGCUACUAGCACCUUCCUGGCAUCCCAUUGGCUCGUCAAUCUUUACCCACGAUGCUUUGCGUUCCCCUCUGACACUCGUCACCUGGCGCUUUCACAAGCUAGCACAAAGGCAAACUUUUCAACUUUUUCGUGAGUUUUCCCGUUUGCCUUUUGCAAGUUUAUUCAUCUUUCUUCAACAUGGGCCCAAGAAAACUUUAGUGGACUGAAAUUCAAGUUUGUUUUCGCUCGGCUGUCGAAGUUUGCCUCCUCCUCCGUCCCCCGUGACGCCACUUCUCAUAGUCGCCAAAUGCCAAAGAAGAUCGUUGUUUUUGUCCAGGAAUCCUGAAAGUUUGAAUCAGAUCAUUUGAAAACGUCAAAGUCGGCGACGGCGGCGGACGCCCGACGGAGUACGGCCGCUUCUUCUCCCACCCUCAACGCGGUACGUGACUUCCCCGGCGUAGUGCAGCAGGCGAAAUUCUCCCCUCCGCAGCGUCCUCCUCGUCUUCUGGUCGGCGAGUUUGUGCCUGCGAAAGUCGGCGGGCGUCAGCGCCGGCGGCGGGAGCCACGAGACCCCCCCGGGAUUGCGCAACCCUUACGUGACGAAGUGGGGGUGGCCCCCGACGGUCUCCUCCAUUUUUUCCAGAAGGGUGACGUCCGUGGCCUUCCCGGGACGUAAACGUUCCUCAUCCUGCGCAACGGGACAGGUCGCAGAUGAUUUUGUUGUUGAAAUACGGCACCGGCUCCCACUGCGGAUCGGAACCGCGACGUACGCGUACUCUCACUCGGGUUGCCGAAGCAGAGUGGCCACAACGCUGGCCCAGCCAGCGGAGCAGAUCCUCCUCGCCGCCCUCCACCAGCUGGUAGAAGAUGUGGAAGUUGCGCUCGCCGUGGUUCUGAUGGACCACGCGGGACUUCUCCAGCAGGUAACUGAGGAUGUGGCCGCCGACCGCCCCGCCCUGGGAGACCGUCGCCGCUCAGUCCGCGUCCGCAAAGGCGUCAAUCAUCAACGGAUUUGAGGCGGUACAGUCGGUACCUGGUGAUCAAACUGGAUGUCCAUGUACUUCCCAAAGCGACUGGAGUUGUCGUUCUUCAGCGUUUUGGCAUUUCCGAAGGCCUGCACGACAUCCAGUUC